CAAUAGCGUAUAUUAAAGUUGUUGCAGUUAAAAAGCUCGUAGUUGGAUUUCUGGUGGGAGCGAUCGGUCUGGCGCUUAGCGCGAGUACUUGCAUCGUCUCCGGCCAUCCUUGGGGAGAGUCUGUCUGGCAUUAGGUUGUCGGGCAGAGGAUCCUCAUCGUUUACUGUGAGAAAAUUAGAGUGUUCAAAGCAGGCUUAUGCCGUUGAAUAUAUUAGCAUGGAAUAAUAAGAUAGGACUUUGGUACUAUUUUGUUGGUUUGCGCACCAAAGUAAUGAUUAAUAGGGACAGUUGGGGGUAUUCGUAUUCCGUUGUCAGAGGUGAAAUUCUUGGAUUUACGGAAGACGAACUACUGCGAAAGCAUUUACCAAGGAUGUUUUCAUUAA
rnacentral:rRNA from 1 species